CCGAGUUUAGACGCUCCCAAACCCCUGUGAACGUACCGACCCCCGUUGCUUCGGCGGUGCCGCCCCGGGCGCGGGCCUCUCUCGAGGCCGCCAGCCCCGGAACCAGGCGCCCGCCGGGGGACCCUCGAAAACCCUUGAUUUUCCUGAAGGCCUCCUCUGAGCCGCGCUCCACGAGCGCGGGAGAAAUCACGAAUCAAUCA
rnacentral:misc_RNA from 1 species